GCUGUGAGCUCGAUGAGUAGGGCGGGACACGUGGUAUCCUGUCUGAAUAUGGGGGAACCAUCCUCCAAGGCUAAAUACUCCUGACUGACCGAUAGUGAACCAGUACCGUGAGGGAAAGGCGAAAAGAACCCCGGCGAGGGGAGUGAAAAAGAACCUGAAACCGUGUACGUACAAGCAGUGGGAGCCUCUUUUAUGGGGUGACUGCGUACCUUUUGUAUAAUGGGUCAGCGACUUAUAUUCUGUAGCAAGGUUAACCGAAUAGGGGAGCCGAAGGGAAACCGAGUCUUAACUGGGCGUUAAGUUGCAGGGUAUAGACCCGAAACCCGGUGAUCUAGCCAUGGGCAGGUUGAAGGUUGGGUAACACUAACUGGAGGACCGAACCGACUAAUGUUGAAAAAUUAGCGGAUGACUUGUGGCUGGGGGUGAAAGGCCAAUCAAACCGGGAGAUAGCUGGUUCUCCCCGAAAGCUAUUUAGGUAGCGCCUCGUGAAUUCAUCUCCGGGGGUAGAGCACUGUUUCGGCAAGGGGGUCAUCCCGACUUACCAACCCGAUGCAAACUGCGAAUACCGGAGAAUGUUAUCACGGGAGACACACGGCGGGUGCUAACGUCCGUCGUGAAGAGGGAAACAACCCAGACCGCCAGCUAAGGUCCCAAAGUCAUGGUUAAGUGGGAAACGAUGUGGGAAGGCCCAGACAGCCAGGAUGUUGGCUUAGAAGCAGCCAUCAUUUAAAGAAAGCGUAAUAGCUCACUGGUCGAGUCGGCCUGCGCGGAAGAUGUAACGGGGCUAAACCAUGCAC
rnacentral:rRNA from 1 species